AAAAACUAACAAAAGUUUUUUUCAGCAUUCCAACAACUUGAUUGCUAAACCAGAGUUUAUUCAAAUCCUUGAAGAAAACAUAACAGAUUUGACGGAUAUAGUGCAGACUCUAGGAUUAGAAUCUCAUCAAUCAAAAGAAUUUCAAAUUUUUAAACAAGCUUCUGUUGCCCUUGCCAGUGCCAAGGAUAUUCUCCUAUUUGCCACAAUGUUGCCCUAAGAGGUUCUUAGUGUGAAACCAUUGCCACUGCAAAGAAAAUAUAUCAUAUAUCUUUGCCACAAUAUUACCCUAAGUGGUUACAAGUGUGAAAGUAUAACAUAUAGUUUUGCCACAAUAUUACCCUAAGUGGUUACAAGUGUGAAAGUAUAACAUAUAGCUUUGCCACAAUAUUACCCUAAGUGGUUACAAGUGUGAAACCAUUGCCAGUGCCAAAGAGCAUAUUACUUUGUCACAAUGUCAAAAUUAAAACCAUGGUCAUGUCAAAAGAUAACUUUACCCUAAGUGGUUCCAUGUGGGAAACCUUUACCAGUGCCAAAGAACAUCUUAAUUCUUUGUCACAAUGUCAAGACAUAAGAUAACUUAAAACGCUGCCAUAUAAUUGCUCCAAGUGGGUUGCUAUUGCAAAGACUAUUAUACUGCUUGGAAGUGCUUUCAUAAUGUUUUUCUUCUCUUUACAUUAAAAAACAACAAUUUUCCUACUUUUAUUGACGAAGUUUUUUUGGAGUAAUAUCUUUGAUUUCUGACUGCAUUGGCAACAAACCUACAAUUGCAAUGAUUCAUGUGAGGUCUCCUCACCAAAAAAUUGUGUCAGUUUGAUCAAUUUCUUGUAGUCUCUAGACCUCCCCCCCCCCUUCAGAAACCUUUUCAUAAUUCUUAAAUCACUCCUUAUAGCAUAGCCAAAAAUAGUUAAUUGUAGAUGAACUAGCUGAAAAUAUGAAUCAUGUAAUAAAUUUUAAAUCUAUUAAAUCUAUUAGUUAACAGUAUGAAAUAGACAUUGAAGUAUAAAAAAA